rnacentral:rRNA from 1 species
CCUACGGGUGGCAGCAGUGAGGAAUCUUGGUCAAUGGGAGAGAUCCUGAACCAGCCAAGCCGCGUGAGGGAAGACGGCCCUAUGGGUUGUAAACCUCUUUUGUCGGAGAACAAAACCCGGGACGUGUCCCGGACUGCGUGUAUCCGAAGAAAAAGCAUCGGCUAACUCCGUGCCAGCAGCCGCGGUAAUACGGGGGAUGCGCGGGUUAUCCGGUUUGAUUGGGUUAAAAGGGUGCGCAGGCGGUCUGUUAAGUCAGCGGUAAAAGCCCGGGGUUCAACCCCGGCCCGCCGUUGAAACUGGCAGUCUCGAGUUGGAGAGAAGUAUGCGGAACGCGCGGUGUAGCGGUGAAAUGCAUAGAUAUCGCGCAGAACUCCGAUUGCGAAGGCAGCAUGCCGGCUCCCCACUGACGCUGAGGCACGAAAGCGUGGGUAUCGAACAGGAUUAGAUACCCUUGUAGUC